AUUGCAACCUCCGCCUCCUGGGUUCAAGCAAUUCUCAUGCCUCAGCCUCCUGAGUAGCUGGGAUUACAGGCGCCCGCCACCACUCCCAGCUAAUUUUUGUAUUUUUAGUAGGGACGAGGUUUCACCAUGUUGGUCAGGCUGGUGUCAAACUCCUGACCUCGUGACCUGCCCUCCUUGGCCUUCCAAAGUGCUGGGAUUACAGGCAUGAUGGAGAUGAUACUCCCUAAAUCACAAGGGUGUGGUGUGAAGAUGAAAUGGCUGCACAUGACAGAGGAGUUGGAGAACAGGAAGCAAGUGGAUCACUUGGAUGAGCUGUGAUGGGCCCAAGAAGAACUAAGCCAAUCACUCCAGGGGGCGUUUUCCCAGGAUCCAGGCAGAGAGCUGAUUCCAGCAUCCACGAUGUAUCCCCCUCCCCCUGUGGCCGGGGUCUCCAAGAGCCAGGCACCCACUGCAGAGCUUCCAAGCCCAGGCCCAUUUGAACACAGGAGGACUUUUGAGGUUCAUUUAACCCCAAAAUCAGUGAUUCUACAUCUCAAGCUCAUAUUUUGAAGUGUUUACAGUCUCGAGCUCCAAUUCCCUGCCGGGAAGAGCUGAAGCUGACCUCUGGCACCCCCUGCUUCUUCU
rnacentral:lncRNA from 1 species